UUAGAGUUUGAUCCUGGCUCAGGACGAACGCUGGCGGCGUGCUUCACACAUGCAAGUCGAACGGGGAUAGAGCGCAGGCUUGCCUAUGCUCUUUCCUAGUGGCGGACGGGUGAGUAACACGUGAGCAACCUGCCCGACAACCCGGGAUAACAGCGGGAAACCGUUGCUAAUACCGGAUACACCAGUAUUAACGCAUGUUAUAACUGGGAAAGGGUUUACCGAUGUCGAAUGGGCUCGCGACCCAUUAGCUUGUUGGUGGGGUAAUGGCCUACCAAGGCUGCGAUGGGUAGCUGGUCUGAGAGGACGAUCAGCCACACUGGAACUGAGACACGGUCCAGACUCCUACGGGAGGCAGCAGUGGGGAAUAUUGCACAAUGGGCGAAAGCCUGAUGCAGCGACGCCGCGUGGAGGAUGAAGGCCUUCGGGUCGUAAACUCCUGUCUGGGGGGAUGAAUUUUUGACAGUACCCCCGGAGGAAGCCCCGGCUAACUACGUGCCAGCAGCCGCGGUAAUACGUAGGGGGCAAGCGUUGUCCGGAAUUACUGGGCGUAAAGCGCGCGUAGGUGGCUUGUUAAGUCAGGUGUCAAAAUGCGGAGCUCAACUCCGCAGCGCACUUGAAACUGGCAGGCUUGAGUGCAGGAGAGGAAAGUGGAAUUCCUAGUGUAGCGGUGAAAUGCGUAGAUAUUAGGAGGAACACCAGUGGCGAAGGCGACUUUCUGGACUGCAACUGACACUGAGGCGCGAAAGCUAGGGGAGCAAACAAGAUUAGAUACCCUGGUAGUCCUAGCCGUAAACGAUGGGUAUUAGGUGUUGGGGGUGACAUUCCUUCCAGUGCGGCAGUUAACGCAUUAAGUUCCCCCGCCUGGGGAUUACGGCCGCAAGGUGAAAACUCAAAAGAAAUUGCGGGGGGCCCGCACAAGCAGCGGAGCAUGUGGUUUAAUUCGAUGCAACGCGAAAAACCUUACCCAGGGCUUGACAUCCUCUGAAGCUGUAAGAGAUUAUAGUGUCCUUUCGGGGCAGAGAGACAGGUGGUGCAUGGUUGUCGUCAGCUCGUGUCGUGAGAUGUUGGGUUAAGUCCCGCAACGAGCGCAACCCUUAUUCUCAGUUGCCAGCACGCAAAGGUGGGCACUCUGAGGAGACUGCCGGUGACAAACCGGAGGAAGGUGGGGAUGACGUCAAAUCAUCAUGCCCCUUAUGUCCUGGGCUACACACGUGCUACAAUGGCCUGAACAACGGGCGUGCGAAGGAGCGAUCCGGAGCAAAUCCCUUAAAUCAGGUCCCAGUUCGGAUUGCAGGCUGCAACUCGCCUGCAUGAAGCAGGAGUUGCUAGUAAUCGCGGAUCAGCAUGCCGCGGUGAAUGCGUUCCCGGGCCUUGUACACACCGCCCGUCA
rnacentral:rRNA from 1 species